GCUCCUAUGGCCCAGGGGUAAGGCGUUGCACUUGUAUCCAUAAGCAUAUGCAAAGAUCCGUGGUUCAAAUCCGCGUGGGAGCU